AAAAGAUUCCUCUUAGGUCAAACAAUGCAAACAUACAGAGAAGAUUAGCAUGGCCCCUGCACAAGGAUGACAGCUCAAUUAGAGAGACUAACACUUUUUUU
rnacentral:snRNA from 1 species